UACGAAGGGGCUAGCGUUGCUCGGAAUCACUGGGCGUAAAGCGCACGUAGGCGGAUUGCUAAGUCAGGGUGAAACUCUGGACUCAACUCCAGAACUGCCUUUGAUACUGGCGAUCUCGAGUUCGGGAGAGGUGAGUGGAACUGCGAGUGUAGAGGUGAAAUUCGUAGAUAUUCGCAAGAACACCAGUGGGCGAAGGGCGGCUCACUGGCCCCGAUACUGACGCUGAGGUGGCGAAAAGCG
rnacentral:rRNA from 1 species